GAACCAGAGGCUGACAGGUGCCCCAUUCACCUGAAGACAUAGAGCAAGGAAGGGGUAGCUUCUUCUGAGGCUUGGUUCAACGGAGCUGACUGGCUAGACAGGGUGUCCUUCUUACCUCACCCGUCCACACAUGUCCCUCCAGAAGCUGCACAUAUGGUUGGGGAGUGCAAUCUUCCCUGAUAAGGGAGGACCAUUCUUCAGUUACAGAUAUAUGAGUAUCUGAACUCCCCUGAUAGAACUUCUGAAAAAGAGCUCAAAAAAAGCAUAUGACGGGAACCAGCAGUUAGAGUAAUGGCUAUGUCGCUGGACUCCUACGU
rnacentral:snRNA from 1 species